GCACUGCUUGGGAGGCGCGGGUACGCGGGCAGGCGCAGGACCCCGGCUCUGCCUCUCCCCAGCACCGCCGCCCCAGCUCCGCGGCGCCCUCUCGGGCUGCCCCCCUCCUGGAGAGGGCUGCGCUGGCGGGAAGGCGGCCAGACCACAGCCUUGGUCCCCCUGCUGUCUGUCGGUUCCUCUUUCCUCCCAAGUAAGGGAAUAAGCCCCGAGGAAGGAGCGCCCCGGGGAACCGCGCAACCAAGUGUUGCAUGGUGAGGAGGAGCCAGGAUUUCUGACGACCUUGACUACGGAUGGAAGCAUGCUGUUGCAGCAAUAGCACAUGCCUGCUCACAUCUGCUGAAAGGUGCCCACCACUGCCAUAGACCCGGGGAUCCUCAGAGUCUCCCGAAGGGCCGGUCCAUCGCCUACCUGCAAUGAGCCAGGCCCUGGGCUGGGCCUCAGCUUCACCCUGGUGAACAGAACUCCAUCCCUGGCCUCAAGCCCUCACAGCCAGCUUAAAGAUGAGUGAAGAACGGUGGGUCUCCCUCACCCCAGAGGAAUUUGACCAACUCCAGAAAUACUCAGAAUAUUCUUCCAAGAAGAUAAAGGAUGUCUUGGCUGAGUUUAAUGAGGGUGGGAGCCUCAAACAAUAUGACCCACAUGAGCCAAUUAGCUACGAUGUCUUCAAGCUGUUCAUGAGGGCGUACCUGGAGGUGGACCUUCCUCAGCCACUGAGCACACACCUCUUCCUGGCCUUCAGCCAGAAGCCCAGGCGGGAGACCCCUGACCACCCAAUGGACAGGGCCAGCAAUGAGGCCGGUGGCCCAGAUACCAACAUACAGAAUGUGGAUAAUGCUGCCAAAGCAGAUGAGGCCUGUGCCCCUGAUACAGAAUCAAAGAUCACCGAGAAGCAAGUGCCAGCUAAAGAACAGGUUGCUGCAGCCCCCCUGGGAAACGCUGUUGCUCCAACUCCAGGCUCAGAAUCCCCCAUAGUGUACCUGAAGGAUGUCGUGUGUUACCUGUCCCUGCUGGAGAUGGGGAGACCUCAGGAUAAGCUGGAAUUCAUGUUUCGUCUCUAUGAUUCGGAUGAGAACGGUCUCCUGGAUCAAGCGGAGAUGGACCGUAUUGUCAACCAGAUGCUUCACAUUGCCCAGUAUCUGGAGUGGGAUCCCACGGAGCUGAGGCCUAUACUGAAGGAGAUGUUGCAGGGGAUGGACUAUGACCGGGACGGCUUUGUGUCUCUAGAGGAAUGGGUCCAUGGAGGGAUGACCACCAUCCCACUGCUGGUCCUGCUGGGCAUGGACGACUCUGGCCCCAAGGGGGACGGGAGGCAUGCCUGGACCAUGAAGCACUUCAAGAAGCCCGCCUACUGCAACUUCUGCCACGUCAUGCUGAUGGGCGUUCGGAAGCAGGGACUGUGCUGUGUUUACUGCAAGUACACUGUCCAUGAACGCUGUGUAUCUAAAAACAUUCCUGGAUGUGUCAAAACGUACUCAAAAACCAAAAAGGGCGGUGAGGUGAUGCAGCACGCGUGGGUGGAAGGGAACUCUUCCGUCAAGUGUGACCGGUGCCACAAAAGUAUCAAGUGCUACCAGAGCGUCACCGCGCGGCACUGCGUCUGGUGCCGGAUGACGUUUCACCGAAAAUGUGAAUUAUCAACAUUGUGUGAUGGUGGGGAACUCAGAGACCAUAUUUUGCUGCCCACUUCAAUAUGCCCUGUGACCCGGGACAGGCAAGGUGGGAAGUCUGAUGGCAGUGUGUCAGCCAAGGGUGAACUUGUAAUGCAGUAUAAGAUCAUCCCUACCCCGGGUACCCACCCCCUGCUGGUCUUGGUGAACCCCAAGAGUGGAGGGAGACAAGGAGAAAGAAUUCUUCGGAAAUUCCACUAUCUGCUCAACCCCAAACAAGUUUUCAACCUGGACAAUGGGGGGCCUACUCCAGGACUGAACUUUUUCCGUGAUACUCCAGACUUCCGUGUUCUAGCCUGCGGAGGAGAUGGGACAGUUGGCUGGAUUUUGGAUUGCAUUGAUAAGGCCAACUUUGCAAAGCAUCCACCGGUGGCUGUCCUGCCUCUUGGAACAGGAAAUGACCUGGCCCGCUGUCUCCGCUGGGGAGGAGGUUAUGAAGGGGGCAGCUUGACAAAAAUCCUGAAGGACAUCGAGCAGAGCCCCUUGGUGAUGCUAGACCGCUGGCAUCUGGAAGUCAUCCCCAGAGAGGAGGUGGAGAAUGGGGACCAGGUCCCGUACAACAUCAUGAACAACUAUUUCUCCAUCGGUGUGGAUGCUUCCAUCGCACACAGAUUCCACGUGAUGAGAGAGAAACACCCUGAAAAAUUCAACAGCAGGAUGAAGAACAAGCUGUGGUACUUUGAAUUUGGCACCUCAGAGACCUUUGCAGCCACGUGCAAGAAGCUCCACGACCACAUAGAGUUGGAGUGUGACGGGGUUGAGGUAGACCUGAGCAAUAUCUUCCUUGAGGGCAUUGCCAUUCUCAACAUUCCCAGCAUGUACGGUGGCACCAAUCUCUGGGGAGAAACCAAGAAGAACCGGGCUGUGAUCCGGGAAAGCAGGAAAGUCAUCACUGACCCCAAAGAACUGAAAUUCUGCGUCCAAGACCUCAGUGACCAGCUCCUUGAAGUGGUGGGGCUAGAGGGAGCCAUGGAGAUGGGGCAGAUCUACACUGGCCUGAAGAGUGCGGGCAGGAGGCUGGCCCAGUGCUCCUCGGUAACCAUCAGGACAAACAAGCUGCUGCCAAUGCAAGUGGAUGGAGAGCCCUGGAUGCAGCCCCCAUGCACGAUUAAAAUUACUCACAAGAAUCAAGCACCUAUGAUGAUGGGGCCUCCCCAGAAGAGCAGCUUCUUUUCGCUGAGGAGGAAGAGCCGUUCAAAAGACUAAAUAAUACGCCAAAUGCCAGUUAAACCAAGAGAGAAAACAAGAGACUGUAACACACACACACACACACACACACACACAUACACACGCGUGCGCACGCAAACACACGCACACUCAUCUCUAACCAGUGGAAGCAAAGCCACCCAUCGGGAAGAAAUCUUCAUCUUGUCGUACAUGCUCUCUACUUCAACAGUGGACACACCCCAACAGAGCCGGUACCGACAGAAAAUUUUGAACAGACUUAGGGCCGACCGGGGUGCGGUUGGCUCGUAUGGCAACCUCCACAUUCCCAGAAGGCCGUGAGUGGGACUUUCUGAGACUGAAGGAGAAAUCCCCCUUUCUUCCCACCAGUCCUGCAAGUUCCCUCACAGACGCUCACAAGAAGCAGGCUGCAGGUUUCCUGCCUAUGUUGAGAUCGGAUGUGGCCAAGGGAAAGAGCUCCCAUUCCAGAGAAUUUACACAAAGGUCCCUCUGUACAGAGACCAACAGCCUCCAGCGCUCAGAGCAUAACCUUGGCAGGGCUCAGCAAGCGCACGUUGGUUGCUUAGUUGUCCUUCAAGCAGCAACUUCUCCCUGAACUUGCUGAGGAGGCAGAAAGGCUGUGGAAAGCUGUGUUUCCAUUCUUGGUUCUCCACGCUGUCAGUGGGCACUUGUUAUUUUCCCAAAGGCUUCUCCUGGUGGCUGUGUGUUUGUUGAGAGACAGCUCCAAGAGCCCCCCGAGCAGCCUGCACGGCACACCUUCGAUGUGGUAUUUAUUUUCUUAGUUCUGUGAACACCUGGGAGGGAAAGCAGAGAAACUGGGAUUUAUUUUUCAAAUUGGUGUCAUAAUAUUGUGUAAAAAGGGAAGAAAAAAAAAACCACCCCCAGUUUCUUUCUUUUUCAAGCCAAAGCGUGUUUCCUGUUUUGAGUUCCAAGCCCUGGUGGCAGACUACUCCUGAAGGCAGAGAAGAUGAGAAGGAAGGGCCUUUUGCUGAGAAGACCAGGAGACAAGCCCAUCAGGUGGCUCCCACCUGCCUCUUUGCACCUACCACUCCCAGAGCAUGACCUGAGGGCCCUUCUGAUGGUCUUAUGUGUGUGUACAUAUAUGUAGCAUAUAUAUUUAUACAUAUAAAUAUUUAUUUACUGAUGGACUUUUCCUGAUUGAAAAAAAAAAACAUGUAGACGAGGAACAGAAAGUAGGAAAGAAAAAGUAGGUUCUUACUCCCCCAUCCCACCAUUUCAUUGUCAAGACACAUUUCCCCAUGGUGAUCAUGAGAUUUAAGGGAAAUGAAAGUAGCUUCUUAUCAUAAAGAGACUAAGAAUUCCUAUUCUGGAUUCUCAAAACAGCCAUGAAAGAUAUGCUGGACAGAAUUAUUCUCUCACUUGCCAGCAAGAGAUAGUCUCAGAAAAGUUAAGAGACUUGUACAUGGUAUCUUAACUAAUGUGGUUUGAGAAUAGGUGCCACUAAGAGGAUGUUUAUUAGAGAGAAGAAUCCACACAUCUUAGAAUAGGGUCAUUUCUGGCCACUGAGAAAUUAUUCCAUUCGAAUCCAGGUUUCCAGGGAAGGAUGAAUACGUAGCACAUGUGUGGAUGUGACAGGCCCACACAAGGAAAUGAGGGCCUCGUGAUGCUUCCCAGAGAUUCUCUCUGGCCUGAACUGGUAAGAAGUUGGUCUGGGUUGAAGGCACUAGACAGAUCAUCAGAUUAAGCUCUCCACCUGUCAACUCGUCAUGGUCGUCAUGGCCUCUUAGUCUGGAAGCACCUGUGGCUGCAGGGAUGACUUCAGUUGGAGACUCAGAAGAAGGACCAAGGCACCUUCUGCAAGGUGUUGCCAGCCAAUACCCAGAGGGGUCCCAGCAGAGCUCAGUGGGCUUCAUGCAGCUGCUGCCAGCAUUACCCAAUUCCUUUUGCGAGGGCAAGUCUGUGUAGAGCUUCAUUAGUAGACAGAAACAUUUGCCUUGGUGCCUUUGCUCCAUCGGACCUCCAUCCCCUCCGAGAUUUCUUAAGAGGACACGUGGGCCCACUCGACAUCACUCCACUGAGCGCUCUCUAAUCUCCUUGCACUGAGUCAGGAGCUUUGCACAAGGAAGGGAAAUUAAGAUUGUGUGUAUACACUGAUCCUAACUCUGAAGGAAGCAAUCAUCUAGGACCAUCCUGCUGGACCCAACAGUGCGAAACAGUGGGUGAGGGGACAGCCAGGCUGCCUGAAGAAUGUCCUGAAUGAUGGGAUCCUUGGUGAUGGGACGGACCAACAAGUUCCAGAAUAACAACAGGGGAUCCUUCUUGAUGUGGGAAAGGCUGUGUAUAUCAAACACACUGCUGUCAGAAGAUGUCUGGGUGCUCUGAUGAAAAGAGGCAGGAGAUCAAACUAAAGAGAAGAGGGUCCUACAGCAAGUUGCUGACCCAGGUUCUAUCACAGCUGCCCUCUUCCAUCGAAUGGGCAGAAGUAACUUUUUGUGCCUCUCUGUACCAUCAUCAUCCACGCUCAGUAGGAAACAAGUAAGACCCUUCUAGCUUGGAAAAGUCUGGCCACUGUUCCAUAGAGCUGCUGUGGAAGGAGCCAUUCCAUGUGCCAAGAUGAUGUGAGGGAUGAAACCCUGCCUGGGAAACAAGAGCAACACGGGGAGUAAGCUACAUGCUGUCUCAGCCACAUGGCCUUGGACAUGUCCUUUAGCCUUCUGGGACUUUUCUUUCUCCGUCUAUCCAACAAGGGGGGCUCUAAAGACUUUCCCUCUUCAACGAUCUUGCCCUUACCUGGAGUAAAUCCUGCGGCCAUGGCGGGGGGGGGGGGUCCUUGUUCUUAGGGGUCUUCCAGCAGGCCCAAGGCUCCCCACCAGCCCUGCUACCCUGGAGGGCUACUCUUCCCCCCUUAAAGAAUCUUCUCUUCCCUCUUCAGGAUUGAUCACGCUCAGAAAUUAGCUGAUAUGGGGGGCCAACAUAAAAAAAAACCGACAAGGAAACUCUUUGGUAAGCCCUCCACCUUUACACACACGCACACACACAUACACAAACACACAUACUCAGUCCCUGACGUGUAAACAUUUUCCAUUCUGUGGAUCAAACCUAUUUUACCCUUUCUCAUUGCCAGUGUGUUAGGAGAGAAUCCAUUCCCACCAGUGGAAAAGCACCACUUCCCUUUAGAGAACUUAGCUAAAGCUCAGCGUUUGGGGUGACCCUGGGCAUAAGCUGAAGCUACACGUCCUAACGCACCUCACCUGCGGCCCAUAAAUGCAGACUCUUGCCAGCCGAGACUGAGGCGGUGACUGGGUAGCACAGCGCCAGGGUCCCGAUCCUUCACUCCUCACUCGUCCACCUCCGCUGCCUCGUCCACCCGUAGAUACGCUACUCCGUCAGGGUGGUCGCCUGCUCGAGCCUGCCUGUCUGCCUGCCGGAGUGCCGUGGACUUGUUCCUGUAAUGUGCCGUGUGUACGUGUGUCCUGACUCUGUGGUUUACUACAAAUAAACCUGACAGCGGACCGCUGACCUCUGACCUCCUGGUGGUUUCUUUCCAAGCCGCCGCUCGAGAAACCGGAGUUGCCUGAUCAGCCACAGGGCGCUGGAGACGAGCAGGCUCCCCGAGGCUGGUCUGUGGCCCUUCACAGGUGCCCCCUGCCACGGCUCUGCUCAGACGCAGGGACUGGGAAGAAGGGAAGCUCUCUGUUGCCACUUUCCUGGUGUUGCAGGAGCGGGAGAGGGAGCCAAAAAUCCUAUUAAA